rnacentral:lncRNA from 1 species
AUAAAUUGACUUUCUGUGCCUGACCUGCAGGUGGCGGCCAUUCUGUUUCCUGGCCCUGGCUUCACUAAUUUAGGCCUGCUGGGCUCACGGGAAGCCCUUCAAAAAACGACUCCUUUCAGAUUAACAUGUAAAAUUUAAUUUCGGAGGUCCAGGCUGAGAUGAUGUCUAAAGCCAUUUACUAAGCCCGGCGGCCUCCCCGUCCUGGGGCUAAGGAGGCAGAAGCAGAGCUUUGAUCAUUAGCCGCUGAGAAAAUCUCAGCUUGCAUAUUAAGAGAAGUGGCAGCACUUUUAACCCCUUUGGGAUGAGGACAGCCGACAUGGAGACAGCUAAUCGGAUGUAGAACCUCCUAUGAACUUCAAGAGAACAUUCCCGGGAGGAGCAGGUUGUGGCUUUCUAGGAGACAGUGGGCCUGGCCUUGACUAUAACCACAUUUGCUCAGGAUGGCGGAGGAGGUGGCGGGGAGGAGGGGCUUAAACUCUACACGCAGAGUGGGAGCACAAACUGCUGGGACUUCUGCCACCUUUGAAGCCUGUUGUGAGGUUGUCUCUCCGCACAGGGCCCAGCUCUGGUUUUAACGAUCAGAAGGCCUGAAGGGGCUGUCUUCUCACCCCGAUGGGCCCUUGGCAGACUCGUGCCCUGCCUUGCACGGUUCUCU